CCUACGGGAGACAGCAGUGGGGGAUAUUGCACAAUGGGGGGAACCCUGAUGCAGCGACGCCGCGUGUGGGAAGACGGUCCUCUGGGUUGUAAACCACUGUCCCCAGGGACGAAAAUCACGGUACCUGGGGAGGAAGCUCCGGCUAACUACGUGCCAGCAGCCGCGGUAAUACGUAGGGAGCGCGCGUUGUCCGGAAUUACUGGGGGUAAAGGGAGCGUAGGCGGGGAUGCAAGUUGGGUGUAAAAACUACCGGCUCAACUGGUAGUCGCACUCAAAACUGGAGGUCUUGAGUGAAGUAGAGGCAGGCGGAAUUCCUAGUGUAGCGGUGAAAUGCGUAGAUAUCAGGAGGAACACCAGUGGCGAAGGCGGCCUGCUGGGCUUUGACUGACGCUGAGGCUCGAAAGUGUGGGGAGCAAACAGGAUUAGAUACCCUAGUAGUC
rnacentral:rRNA from 1 species